AAUACAUCCUUCUGAUCACAUCCCAUUCGAUGGAAUAAGCUAGCAUAAUCUAUCCAUAGCUACAGACUUCAAAGACUACAAGGAUACAGGCGUUGUCAUCCUGCCUCCUCAGUCCAGCUAAUAUUUAAACUAGUAAGUCUAUGUCAUAUCACUACCAAAAACAAGUAGAAGGAAUUUUCUGGUUGCUUUUCUCUUUUUCCUCCUCCUCCUCCUCCUCCUCCUCCUCCUCCUCCUCCUCCUCCUCCUCCUCCUCCUCCUCCUCUUCCUCCACCACCACCUUUACCUCUUCCUUUUCGUGUUCCUUCAUCACUACUACCAUCGUCCACAUCCACAUCCCCACCAUCACCAUGACCUCCUUGUCCUCUGUUUGUUCUUCUCUUCUUCCUCCUCCUUCUCUUCCUUUCUUUUCCCCUCCACUUCUACCACUACCACCUCUCUCUCCUCUUCCUUUCUCUCUUUCCCUUCAUCAAAGACACAAUUCCUUGAGAUUUUUCAAUAAAUAUCUUUAAAGGUUCAUACAUUUGACCUAUAUGAAGUGAAAAUAUUAAGAAAGAAAAGAAGGAGUUGGUUCGUGUGAUUCUGAAGGAAUCUGUUCCAAGAUCUGCAGGGCAAGUUGGCUGAAAAGACGCCGGAGAGCCAAUGGUACCUUCCUGCUCUGAAGAAAGGCAUGCUCAAGGAGACACAGCCAAUGCUUUCGUCUGAAUCCAAAGGCAGGAGAAAGUUGAUAUCGUAGUACACGGAUGAUGUCAUGAGUCGUCUCACAUAGGGAGUCAGUCUCAACCAUUUUAUUCUCUCCAAAUAGUCAACAGAUUAGGCAAAUCCUACCCAUGCUAAUAAUAGCAUUAGUAAUCAUUAUAAGUCACC
rnacentral:lncRNA from 1 species